GGCUCAGUGGUUUAGUGGUAUAAUACUCGCUUCGGGUGCGAGUGGUCCCGGGUUCGAUUCCCGGCUGAGCCC
rnacentral:tRNA from 1 species